UGGGGAAUCUUGGACAAUGGGCGCAAGCCUGAUCCAGCCAUGCCGCGUGGAUGAUGAAGGCCUUAGGGUUGUAAAAUCCUUUCGUUGGGGACGAUAAUGACGGUACCCAAAGAAGAAGCUCCGGCUAACUUCGUGCCAGCAGCCGCGGUAAUACGAAGGGGGCUAGCGUUGUCCGGAUUUAUUGGGCGUAAAGAGCUCGUAGGCGGUUGCGUAAGUCGGAUGUGAAAACUCAGGGCUCAACCCUGAGACGCCAUCCGAUACUGCGCUGACUUGAAUCCAGUAGGGGAGUGUGGAAUUCCUGGUGUAGCGGUGAAAUGCGCAGAUAUCAGGAGGAACACCCAUGGCGAAGGCAGCACUCUGGGCUGGUAUUGACGCUGAGGAGCGAAAGCAUGGGUAGCGAACAGGAUUAGAUACCCGAGUAGUCCCUGAGCGGGCUGGCAAGGCGCAU
rnacentral:rRNA from 1 species